AGGAUGAACGCUGGCGGCGUGCUUAACACAUGCAAGUCGAACGAUGAAGGCUGGAGCUUGCUCUGGCUGGAUUAGUGGCGAACGGGUGAGUAACACGUGAGUAACCUCGCCCCAGACUCUGGGAUAAGCGCGUGGAAACGGCGUCUAAGUACCGGAUACGAGCUUCCACCGCAUGGUGAGGAGCGUAGGAAAGUAAUUUUCGGUCGUGGGAUGGACUCGCGGCCUAGUCAGUCUUGUUGGUGAGGUAAGUGGCUCACC
rnacentral:rRNA from 1 species